AAUUUAUUUGGAGGUUUAUACUUUAUACUACUAUGUAAGAUCUUGUGCACAUAACAAUCUCUGCGGCUCAUAUGUCAUAACACGUUUAUUGCGCACUUUCUGGGUUGUGUCUGUGAUUGUGAAGAAGAUGAGAUAAGAAAUGAGAUUACGAUAUCAUGAAGUUUUAAGUGGCAUUUCCGCAAUUCCGCAUAGAACUCAUCUCUUUCAAUCUUGUUCCUUGUUCGGAUUCCUCCAACUUCCUUAAUGGCAAAAGCUAUUCCGCUGUGUAACAAAUGGUGUGGAUAUCGCCAUCACUGUUUCAAACAUUCGCCUUCUUUUUCCAUCCCUAAAUUCAGUUACUGGGCUUCUAGGAAGAAAACUGUUAUCAAAGUAAUUGCAGAGGAUUCCUCUGGUUCAAAUGUAAAGAGAGCAAAUUUAUCAGCCGCGAAAUCAGAGAGAAUUAAGCUGCCUGAUUAUAAUGAUGGCGUUGGAGGUAAGAAAUACCACAUAAGCGAAUUUCUAAGGCAGCCUAGUGGUAUUGCGGCCGUGUUGAACACGAGGGAGUUGCAAACAUUUGAAUCUCUUGAUGCUAACACUUACAGGUGCUCACUACCUAAACUUCAAUUUUUGAACUUUGAAGCUGCUCCAAUGAUGGAUCUGCGCGUCACCCCAACAGAGGAAGAUUGCUUGGUUGAGAUGCUUUCCUGUAAGUUUGAGGGUUCUGAAGUUGUGGAAGAGCAAAACAACCACUUUUCAGGUAUCAAUGGAUGGACUCGGUGCACAGCGAGGGAUUCGAGUCAUAUGUUUAAUUUGGGAUCUAAUCUCUGUUUAUGUGAAUUGACCAACAAAUUUUUUUUAUUUGCUAUUAAGAGCCUUCUACAGAUAAACUUAUUGUCUUCCAAGAAAACGAAAAGAUAUAUGUUUCAUGUGACUUUUCUUUUUCAUUUUCUUUUUCAAUUCAUGCUUUUAUUGCUAUGGAUUUGCAGCACUUAUGGUAAAUCAUAUGACAUGGGGAGGUGCUGAUGCUGAAUCAUUUUUAGAAGUUGAUGUUAAGUUGAAUCUCACACUUGAGAUUUAUACAAAACCAUUCACCAUGAUGCCUGUAUCAGCUGUGGAGCGUCCAGGAAAUUUAAUGAUGCAAGCUUUGGUGGACAAACUCGUGCCACUGCUACUUCAGCAGAUGCUUCAAGAUUAUGAUGAAUGGGUUCAAAAGCAAUUGGGAAAUACU